GCCAUUUGCCUCACUUACUCCUGGGGUCUGGGUGAGCAUCUGGCCCCGACCUGGUAAAGGGUCGGUUUCGCCCAGCAGUAAGCCCUACACGUAGACAGAGGACGAACACCGGACGAGCGAACGGAGACUACAUGCAACAGUUCCUGCAGAAUGUAUUUUCUUUCUUCUCAAAAUAUGAAAUCUAAAUCUUAAAUUUUCUUCAAGGAUUUUAUGUCUCCAGAAGCUCAAGUUACUGGGUUAGUACAGUCAAGAAAACAGAGAUCAGCUCUGACGCUUCUUUUUAAGUUGUCAUCUCAGAUGUAGUCAUAAAGUAUGGUUGACAAAAUGAGGUGAAAAGAAAUGUCUGAGGAGAGAAAAUUGCAUUCUCUAAAUCAGCAGUGUUUAAAACUUCCACAUAGUUCUUCAAUUUAAAAAGUUUUUCCACUAAAGACACAGACAGAAAUUUACAACUAAAUGCAGAACCGUCCCUGGAAGGAACAAAGCAUAUGGCACUGGUUCACUGGAAGACAGAAGGGAGCAAGUUGUUCUUUAACCUCAUGAUAAGGUUGAGUUAUAGUUCAUUAUUUUAGGAAUACAGUUUUGAUUCUCUCUGUUCAAGAGAGAUGUUGAAAAAUUGGACAGGGUUCUGAAAGGCAACAGUUAUGACUGGAGAUGUAGAGAAACUGACAUAAGAAGAAACACUGAGAGAAUUCUGGCUGCCAAACCUACAGAAUAGAAGCAUGAGGGAUCUACAGCUCUCCAGGUCUCAAAUCCAGGUGACUGUCAACCAUUUGAUUUUUUUCUCCUAUUCCUGCUAUUCUAUUUAUCAGGCAUAAAUAUAUGUAUUAAACACAGUAGUGUCAAGUUUUGCAAAAAAAACCAAACCAAAACAACAACAACAAAAAAAAAAACAGCUCAUAUCGUCUUUAAAUAUUAUUUUACUUUACCUUUAUAGUUUUUAUGAGGUAUUUGUCUAGUUCUGUUUUCUUGCUCUCAUUUCUGAUAUGUGAAUGGCCAGUUCUAAGUGAUGAAAAACUCAAUUCUAUUCAGUCUUUGUCUGAAUUUCACUUCCAGUUCUAUCAAGAGUUUACUUGCUGACAUUUUAGGUUUAAAAAGCCCAACAACCUUGGUGAAUGAAUUCAGAGGUAAUGUGUUUUCUGACAGCACGUGUGAGUGUGCAUGCGUAUGUGAGUAUAAUCUAAAAGCAAUUUCACUAUAAUUUCUUCAGAAAAGAAAGCAUAAUAUCUACUUAUUUUAUAUAUAGUAUGCUAAUCAGCAGGAUCUACAAGGCUGCACUUCUCCCAAAUUACCUCCAGAAAACUGACAGUUAAUAUUUGUUAUUUGGCUAAAAUUAUAUAUUGUAGUAUAACUGAAAACCAUUUUUAAACAUUUUCUAGACUGCUGAAUAUUUACAGCAUCAAUCAACAUGCAUUUCAGACAUGCAAAUUCAAAUGCAAAAAAAGAAAUUAUAUGAAAAAUAAAACAGAAGUACUGCUGGAAUAUUUUCAAUAGAUUCUAAAUUGUUCAUCAACGUUAAAAAUGUUUUUUGUUUCAAAAUGAAACAGUUCAUUUCCCAGGAAAAAGUAGUAGCUUUUUUUUUCAGAAAUCAAUGUUCAGCCAACAUUAUGCCUUUUAUAACCUUUCCGAAAUAUGAAUAUGCUGAUUAAUUCACAAGACAUAGAUCUUGAACUACCCUUCUAAACAUCAAGAGCUUUCAUUGAAGGCCAAUUCAUUGCAGCUUAUUCCAAAGAGACAAGAUUUGACUUUCAGAUUUUCAUAUGGUCUUUUAGUUUUUAUUGAUGCUUAUGCUGUAUUUAGCUUAUCCCAUCUGCUUCCAAUUACUGCAUAUGUUUUGUUAUUGUUUUUAUUUUGGUGUGGUUCUCUGUUUUUUAUAGGCCUGUCCUUUCAGAUGAGGAAGAGUUUAUUCCCCUGAAAUUAAACAUAUUCCAAGAUAGGUCAGGAAAACUAAAUGCAUAAUUAUUUCCAGCAUGUUAAUAUGGAUUAAAUCUCAGGUGUUUGUGUCUAUGUACUAAAUUAAACUCUUGACAUACUGCAUUAAAAGGCUUACUGUGUAAAAUAACUUUUAACUAAGUUAUCAAUAUCUGAUACAGACUGUGUUUAGGAGGAUAAAAUAGUUGGAGGAUAAUAUCCUCCUAAAAAUAGGAGGAUAAAAUAAAACCUCGAUAGAAAGUAACACAUAGGUAAAUCAAAUUCAGAAGUUUUACGCUCUUUAUUUUUUUUUACUGCACAGUAGUUAUAUUAACAAAUGUGGUUGUCUUUUUGUUGUUGUUGUUUGUUUGUCUAAUCAUUUGUAUUUUGUCUUUAUUCUAUAUUUAAAAACAAACAAACAAAACAAAACAAAAAAACUAUGAGCUUACUGGAGCUAUGAGAAAAGACUUUAUUCAAGAAGAGUUGAAGAUAUAUGGAAGAAAGGGCUAAGUAGGCCAGAAAUACAGAAAGUUGUUUCUUUAGUAAUGUGAUUUGUUACACUGGGGCCGCAUAUUGUCUGUUUACUCAAGCAGGUGGAUUUGCUGAAGAAGUGCUGAUGAUGCAGUGUUCUGACCCACAUAUAAGUUCCCAACAGACUGUACCAGCUGGUGUAGUUUAUGCGUAUAGUUCAAAUAAUGCCAACAAUUUUCUCUAUUACCUCCUGCAGAUGAAAUAGAAGAUAAUGUAAAUAUUGUCAAGUUAUCCUCCCAGAAACUGUCUGUAAGGAAGUCUAUACUUAGUUACCUAUAUUAUUUAUUUAUUUAUCCUCCUCCUUAUUAUCUUUGAUUUUUUUUUUAAUUUAAUGUGAAUAUCAAAAAUUGAGAACUAGAGAACUUCAUUAAAUUAAUCUAGUUUGCUCAUAUAAUUCAAACACAAAGACUUGAACUUUGGUCUCCAGAGGAAAAGAAAAUAGACCCUCUUUAAUUGUGUUGUGUUUCACAGAUGUCUGAAGUGGUAAAAAAGCACCAAUAAGACAUCUUAAGUUUUACUUAAUGUUAAGAUCUUUACACCUAACUAUUCUGAAGCUUUUGAAAAUUUGUUUAAAAAGAGUACUGUGAUUAAUGUAGUCAAAAGAUUGAUUUUCAUCUUACCUGAGAUGCUUUAAAUCUUACACUGUAAUUGUAAUUUUUGCUUAAUCUAUCAUGUUUUGUCAGCUCAGAUCACUGUUUAAAAUAAUAAAGAAAAGUGCUGAGAAGUAAAUACCUCUUUAGUAAUCAAGGUUGUUGAAAUGAAAGCUUUUAUUUUUGUGGAGUAAGAUUUUUUUUUAUUUGUUUUAAUGUGAAAAAAUUCUCCACUUGCAGGAAUAUCGAAAUGUAAUAAUAUUUCCUCGUAAUAGGGAAAUUUCCACAUAGACUUAUAUACUUACAGGGAAUAGGACGUUGAUUUAGGUAGGGAAGGAAACUUAUUAGCUGUUCUAAAACAAAUAAAAGGCCUUUUUUUAAGAAAAAGAAAAAGAUUAUUGUCUAUCUAUAUGUUACUUAUAUUAAAUAUGGAAGUAACUGCGGUUUUCCUCACACAUUAUCAGCAUACUUAACAGAAAUCCCAUUAACCUGUCAGAUAUUUUCUAAUUCAAGCACAGAUUUAGUCAUGAAUAGUCAGCUGGAAAUGAGGUAAUUGGGGUAUGAGAGAACUCUCAGUCUGUAUCCAUAAUUUAUAAUAAAAGAACUGAAGGUGUUCUGUGAAAGAAAGUUCUUAUGGUAAGUUUUGUAAAAGAUGAUAAAAAGAAUUUUUAUGAUGUUAUAAGGCAGUUAAAAACAAAAUAAAAAUAAUUUAAAAUGAAUACCUUAUAUUUAGUCAGCAUACUUAGGCACAAUUUUAGAUGUUUGUAUUAUUGUCCAUUGCUUCAUCCAUACCUUGUUUUGCAUCAUUGUCAUUAUAAAUUAAAGAAAUCAUAUGAAAGAUUAAAGCUGGGGUAGCCACAGAAACUUUUAAUUAUCAAACUUUCUAUGAUUCUGUGCCUGAGUCUGUGAAAUACCUUGAUUUCACAGAACAGCUAUGAAAUAGUGGGAGUUGAUACAGAAGAAAAAGGAAGGCAGGCUGUUAUAACAUUAGUAUUCUAAAAAAAUUAAUCAAACCAGGAAAUAAAUUAUUUACAAGGACUGCAGCCUAAUUUCUUUUCUUUUUUUUGUUGUGUCUUUGUAACCAAGCUGAAAGUGCUUGAAUAUGUUUAUCAGGUAUAAAAAUCCAUAGAUAUUAAGGAUGUUUGGGGAGGGAUUUAUAAUUUUUCACUUGUCCAUUUAAAUAUAUGAAUUCCCAUAUAGAAGUCCAAUGUGAUAGCUGCAGGGAGAUGAGAGAAGAGAGUGAAACAGAAGACUUCACUUUUGUCUUCUCAGCCUUCCCAUUCCUGAAAAUGUUUUAUCCUAAUCAGAAAGAAAAGAAGUGCCUAGAGGUAAGUAUUUAAACUAGAAAACUUUGAAAUUGGAAGCAUACCCUAGCUUUUUGUUUUGUUUUUUGUUUUUCUUAAAAAGUGUUGCAUUCUUGCCACUUUAACAGAAUUUAACUUAUUUUAACAAAGUUCUGGAGACACUCAACUAAAUAAUGGUUAUUUCAGAAAGGAAUGAAGUAGAAAAGGUCCAUUUGGGGAUCCUGCUAGUAUUGGAUAUUUCCUGUAGUCAAGUUUGAAGUUUUUUCAAAUCUGACAUUACAUGCUUCUUCACCUCCAAAAAAGGAGCAUUUCACUGAUGAAUAUAGGUGAAUGCUGUAGGGGUUUGUUUUGAUAUGUUUGAUACUAUCCUUACAUCUCUAGAGUAAUACAGUAUAGGCUUUUUAGAGGUCACUAUUAAGAUUAUUUCCCCCUUUUGUCUGCUACACCAUUUCCAUUUGGAAGAAGUUGAUCCUAUUUUCACCACCAAGAAAAGAUCUUCUGAUAUCUGUGGCAGUUUUGUUUCCCUUUCUUUAUGCAACCAGUGAAAAGCAAAAUUGUUAUCAAAUAAUUAUAGCCACAUAAUACCCUGUAAAGGUUUAUGACUUCUUACUGACAGGCCCUUCUCAAUUUUCCAUGAUGUUCAUGUGAAAACUUUAGUAAGAACAUUCACUGCUCUAAAUACAUAAUAAUUAGGAGUACAAAAAACAAAAUCACUUUAAAAAGACUAAAGAAACUGAAAUAUUUAGUGCAGUAACAUAGUAAGAAUGUUCUUAGCUGUACCAUUAGAAGAGAUAUCUUUCUGCCUAAUAAGCAAGAGACUGUAGUGCAGAGCUGAUUGGGGCAAAAGUGUCUACAUAACAGUAACAGUGCUCCAGACUGUGGAUAAUUUCAAAUAAAAUAAUUACCUUUACUAGCUCUGCAGAAGUUUCAGUAAAUGCUGAAAAGGAUAAAAUUGCAGGUGCUGACUACAGAGAGUAGUAAAAAAUCUCAGUAGAAAACUAAAUUGUACUUGUUUUUUUCCUGGAUUGCCUCCUGCUGCUGGAAGCCCACCUGGUCUCUAUUACAUCUCCUAUUCAGCAUAGUUAAAAUUUGCUACAGCCAUUUCAGGUUUGAAUGUUAGAACGUUGUGUUAAUAUGGCAGGUUUUGACAUUCCAUUGUUUAAAUGACAGUGUUCUUUUUUAUUACUUUAUUUAUUUAUUUAUUGCAAGGUUGAAAUUCAGACUCUCAUUAGAGCAAAUUAUGUUGAACUCUGGAGUAAGAGAACUUGCACAGCAGUAGUGUUUUUUUUUUUUUUCUCGGUUGUAUCUAACAAAUGGAAUUGAAGCUGUUCCUAUUUAAAUCGGCAGUGUUACUGAAGGAAAGAGCAGCAUUUGACCAAAUGCAUGCCAAAAACAUGAUAUUUAUGAAAUACUACCAUAACACUGGAGUGUUACUCUAUGGAGAUAAAUAUUUAAAUUUUAAGAGCUAUUGUUCUCAGAGGUGCUAUUGUGGGCAGGAAUUGAAUGAUAUGAGUCUCAGAGAUGUGAAGUGUAACUCAACUGUCAUUACGUUUCAUUCUCCAUUUAAGAUCAAAAUACAUUUUAGAUUGCCUGUAACCUGCACACUCAUGCAACUCUAAGUUCAGAUGCAUCUUAAAAUCUUUAGCACAGAGAAGAAUUUUCUCACUACAGAACACGAAGAAAAAACAUGUCGUUGAAAUGAUUGCUUUUCAUAUAGUAACAAUAUUUUAAAUUUGUCUUGUUAUUUCAGUCUGUAUAGUUUUUCUAUUCAAAGGAAGUAUAAAGAAAAAUAUAACCUAUGCUGAACAUGAUUUAAGCAGUCUUCAGAGACAAUUUGCUUUAACAAAGACAUGCUUAAAUAUGAGUUUCUUGUAGGCUGGUCAAUGGAUGCAAUUAUCUUUUGUCUUUGAGUAUGUAAUAAGAACACUACCCACGCUCUACAGAAAUGUUACUGGAAGGGAGUAGAAAUGUUUGAAUUUACCUCAUGCAUUUUGUCUCAGAAUUAUAAAGACAAAAACAGUCUUUAAGUGGUCCAUAUUUGAAAAGUUUUGUUUUAAAAGCCUUGAGCACCACAUAAAAAGGACAAUGUUCAUGACAUCAAUGAAUGAUAUGGCCUUCUUUAUUUAUUUACUUAUUCUUAAAUGGUUCUAGAGCACUAAAGAAAUAAUGGGACUUUGAAGCAAAAUGUGUCUUGUAAGGGACCUGUACAUGCAAAACUAAUUAAUUAAUUAAUUAAGAGUUACACUUCUGAUCUGGGUUCUUCAAUUAAGUGCUUAAAAUCAUAAUCCAGACUAGAUUUAGUUGUUGACUCCCUUAGUAGCUGCUAGUUUUACUGUUAGAGAGAAUUCCUGAGACACUUCAAUCAUUAGGGAUGUUACAGCAGCAGUAUUUGUUCAUACAUUUAAAGAUAGAAUGUGUUCUUAGAAAUAGUUAUGCUUGUGAUUCACUAUAUACAGCUGACUCAACUGAGAUAUCCAAGUACUAAAGUGUUUGCAGAAUACUGUUUGUACUGUAAUUAAGUUGUUUGGAACACCCUGCACCCUUUGACAUCUACAAAAUAUAGGAAAUAAUAUUGAGGAUAAUAAUUACAGCAUGAAAAGUAGAUAUUUUAAAAUAAAUAGGGAAAAAAAAGUACAAGCAAUGCAUGUAAGAACUCUGUUUGCGUGUUUUAUUUCAUUUAUUUAUUUUAUUUUAUUGAUUUUCUGUAUAGCAGAAAAUCUGAUUUUUUUUAAAUGUGGGUCCAUAUUUUCAUUGAACUCCAGUUUCUCCUUACCACCUCAGAGAAAUUGUCAUAUUCAAGUGUCCUUUAAUAUCUAAGUGUCCUUUAAUAUUUUAAUAAUUAUCCAAUAGAUAAUAAUGUAAUAAGUAUCCAAUAAAAAUAAUGCAGAGAUAUGAAUAAUCCUGCGUGAAAGUAUGUUAUUGUGUGAAAUGAUAAUUUUUCAGUAUAAUUUUACAUGUGCAAUGCAUCAAAAAUUCUAGUUCAUGUAAUAAGAAACAUUAAAGAGAAAAUUUUCUAAAAAUAAGAAAAUAAGUGUUCUAGUAUUGGCAUAUUCAAGAAUCAGUCUGAGGACUGGAAAGUUUACAUAUACACACACAAUAUAUAUAUUGUUUUUCCUAUGAAAAAUGUCUCACCACUAACUCACUCUAAUUUUAAUAACUUACAGCAGGAAAAAAAAAAGAAAAAAGCAUUGUUGCAUAGAUGCACUCUAGUGAAUAUUAUUGCUGUCAUUACUAAUCAAAGCCUACAGGCUUUGUACAGACCUGACAUAACAGGCUCUUGAGGCUGGUCUCGACUUGCUUUGUGUUAGGGUUUAAUCCAAGCAGGCAGCUCAGCUCCACACAGCCACUUGUUCAUCCUCCCCAUGAGAGAAUUAAGAAGGUAAAUGUGUGAGAACUUGUGGACAGAGAUAAAGAUAGUUUACAAAGCAGAGUAAAAGCUGUGUACACAAGCAAAACAAGAAUUCUUCUGCUACUUCCUAUUGGCAGGCAGAUGCUUAGCCACUCACAGGAAAACAGAAGAAAAAAAAAAAAAGCAGGAAAACAUGCAUUACAUUAGCACUUCAAAUGCCCCACCCAUCCCCUUUUCCUUCUUUAUCCCGGCUUUUAUUGCUUUAUUGAUGACCACACCAUUGUAUGAAAUAUCCCUCUGGCCAGUUUGGAUCAGUUGUCCUGUCCUCUUCCCCAGCUACUUAUUCACCCAUGGCUCCUCUCUGGUAGAGCAGCAGAGAAGUGGAAAAUUCUUUGUCUUAGUGUAAGCAUUACUCAGCAACAACUAAAACAUCAGUGUAUUAUCAUCAGUAUCAUUAUCAAAAAUAUAAAACACAGUAUCAUGUGUACCUCUAUAAAGAAAAUUAACUCUAUCCCAGCCAAAACCAUGACACCUUGGCCUGAGCUUUGAGUAAUGAUCUGUAAGCCAAGUGACUACCUCAUGAGCUUGAACUGAAGCUCUGUGUAUGCCUUCCAUGGUCAACUCUCAUCAGUCGUGGGAGUCACGGCUCAGCAAGCGAUUGCUCUUUCAUCCUAUUGAGGCUGGCUGUUCAACUGCCUUCAGACUUGAGCUGCGAACCAGUGAGCAGGAAGCAGAGUGAUGAGAAAGGACAUAGAAAUGACCCUGCACUGGGACCUACAGAUUCAGGAGAAAGGAGGGACCUCCUGCCGUGAACGCUGACCACUCCUGCUGAGUCCUGAGGCUGCUGACAACUUGCUGAGCCUGUUAUGUCCAGGAACAGCCACCUCCAUUGGCUUUAGGUCCUGGAGGACCACAGGAUGGAAGAGCACAGCUUAAGGGAAAAGGGGUAGAUAUUAUUAAGUCUUGUAUGAUAAUUUCAAGGGUAUUGCUCUCAUCAAGUUUUUUUGUGUUUUUGUUUUGUUUUGUUUCAUUUUUGGGGGGUGUGUAAUUUUUGGUAGUAAUUUAUGUUACAAAUACUUGAUUAUACACCUCAUGGAAUUAAACAUAACUCAUUGCUGUGUUUUGAUUAGAUUUUGAGUUAGACUCCCAAUAAAUAAUUCUUGCCUUCACGUGCAAAAUUUGUUCCAUUUUUGCCAAUAACAGGAUUUUGAGUCUAACACAUUAUACUAAAUUCACUAACCUUUUCAUAGAAGCAUUUCAGCAUUUUUGUAAAAUUAUUCUAGGAAGAUUUAGCCCAAGGCAGAAAGCUGGCAUAAAACUUUGACCUAAAUAGCUUGUUACUCAUAGCUUUUGUUCCUCAGAAUAAGUCUUUACAGUGAAAUUUCAGGUCAACCUUUAAAACAAGUCGCUCCAUAUAGUACAAAGUACAUAUAGGCAAAAGCAAAAUAUAAUUCUUUUCCUGCAGAUGAUACUAAGAGAGUGAUAGAGUUUAUC